CUAGCAGCUGAUUGUCCAAACGCAAUUCUUGCGAAAUUACAGAGAAAACCCAAGAAUUGUGCCUGGACAUCUGUUGCUGG
rfam:Scleropages formosus scaffold2338, whole genome shotgun sequence.